rnacentral:tRNA from 2 species
AGGGGUAUAGUUUAACGGUAGAAUAGAGGUCUCCAAAACCUUUGGUGUGGGUUCGAUUCCUACUACCCCUG